CCUACGGGGGGCAGCAGUGGGGAAUAUUGGACAAUGGGGGCAACCCUGAUCCAGCCAUGCCGCGUGUGUGAAGAAGGCCCUCGGGUUGUAAAGCACUUUCAGUGAGGAAGAACGCCUGGUGGUUAAUACCCAUCAGGAAAGACAUCACUCACAGAAGAAGCACCGGCUAACUCCGUGCCAGCAGCCGCGGUAAUACGGAGGGGGGGAGCGUUAAUCGGAAUUACUGGGCGUAAAGCGCGCGUAGGUGGCUUGAUAAGCCGGUUGUGAAAGCCCCGGGCUCAACCUGGGAACGGCAUCCGGAACUGUCAAGCUAGAGUGCAGGAGAGGAAGGUAGAAUUCCCGGUGUAGCGGUGAAAUGCGUAGAGAUCGGGAGGAAUACCAGUGGCGAAGGCGGCCUUCUGGACUGACACUGACACUGAGGUGCGAAAGCGUGGGUAGCAAACAGGAUUAGAUACCCUUGUAGUC
rnacentral:rRNA from 1 species